rnacentral:lncRNA from 1 species
AGCCGAUCUACUUCUAAUUCUUUGACGAUCUUCAGUCCUGCAAUCAGAGCUUCAUAUUCUGCUCUGUUAUUUAUCGCAGAAAAUUCAAAGUGCAGCACGUACUCCGCGAUGAUUCCUUCUGGAUUGAUCAAGAUCAGGCCCACGCCCGCGCCUGACAUGUUGGAGGAACCGUCCACAUAGAGGGCCCAAAAACUAUCAGGGAGAUUUGUUCUUUCCUCAGGAAAGUUCGAUUGGAGCCCUGGGUUGUCAGCUUCACCUCGUUCAAGUUCAGCCUCUUCCGGGAUAGUGCAUUUCACUAUGA